GACGAAACGCUGGCGGCGUGCCUAACACAUGCAAGUCGAGCGGAGAUGAUGUGAGGAAGUUUUCGGAUGGAAUCACAUUAUUUUAGCGGCGGACGGGUGAGUAACGCGUGAGCGACCAACCUUGCACAGGGGGGAUAACGGACCGAAAGGUUCACUAAUACCGCAUGAGACCACGGUGUUGCAUGACACAGAGGUCAAAGGGGAAUCCGGUGCAAGACGGGCUCGCGUCCGAUUAGGUAGUUGGAGGGGUAACGGCCCACCAAGCCUAUGAUCGGUAGCCGACCUGAGAGGGUGAUCGGCCACACUGGAACUGAGACACGGUCCAGACUCCUACGGGAGGCAGCAGUGGGGAAUAUUGCACAAUGGAGGGAACUCUGAUGCAGCGACGCCGCGUGAGUGAAGAAGGUCUUCGGAUCGUAAAACUCUAGUCCUUGGUGAAGAAAAGGACGGUAGCCAAGGAGGAAGCCCCGGCUAACUACGUGCCAGCAGCCGCGGUAAGCU
rnacentral:rRNA from 1 species